AGGGUAGCGAGGGGAUAAAAUUGUUCUUAUUGCUGUCUGGGUUAGCAUUUACUCAGCCUGUGAGGUCAGAAAGAGCCUUGUGAUAAUGGCACCCAUCUAAGUGAAAAUAAUUUGAAUUUUCAGCAGAAAAAGGAGUGGAAGACUGGAUAGGUCUAUUUGCAGACUAACUUUACGGUGUGACAUCUUUGUUGUUAGAAAAACCAAUAUUUUUCGAGAUUCUAUCUUUGAUGUUCAUGCCAAAUUUCUAUUCAUCUAGUGCAGAAACUCCUCUUUGCAAUAAUCUUCUCUUUUUUCAAGUUGAACUUGGUAGACCAUCACUGUUCUACCAUUUUCAAAAUAAUUCUAAGAAGCUGUUGUACAGAAAUGUCAGAGGAAAUUCCUAAAAGAAAAAAAAAAACAAACCCACAAAAAACAAACAAACAAACAAACAAACCUGGUCAAAGGAGAGAGUUCUGCAAUCCCCAUAACACAAGGAGAUAGGAAUGGGAUUGAUCCCCUUUGGAUAGUGUUGGUCACUCUGGUACUAGCACGUAAAGAUGUAGUUUGGAAGUGACUUGACGUACUUUUGGCAGGAGGCCAAAGCAGAUCAGAAUCAACAUCCAGAAGAAAAUGCCAAAUACAAGAAAAUAACAGUGACUUAAUAUGAUUUAAUAUCAAUAAAUUGUUUGAGGUCUAUCCAUCACAGCCUGGACUGAAACACUGCUUUUUCUUCAUAUCAUGGAGCCAAACUGUUGAGGAAGGUUCACCACAGAAGACCUACUUACCCUGUUCAAAGACCAGUUCCUCCUGUUUUUUACAAUUUCC